UACGUAGGGGGCGAGCGUUGUCCGGAUUUAUUGGGCGUAAAGAGCUCGUAGGCGGUUGCGGAAGUCGGGUGUGAAAUACCGGGGCUCAACUCCGGGGCGCCAUUCGAUACUCCGCUGACUCGAGUCCGGUAGGGGAAGGUGGAAUUCCUGGUGUAGCGGUGAAAUGCACAGAUAUCAGGAGGAACACCGGUGGCGAAGGCGGCCUUCUGGGCCGGUACUGACGCUGAGGAGCGAAAGCGUGGGGAGCGAACAGG
rnacentral:rRNA from 1 species